UAACGGGACCUUCUCUUCGGAGCAAAGGUGACAGGUGGUGCAUGGUUGUCGUCAGCUCGUGUCGUGAGAUGUUGGGUUAAGUCCCGCAACGAGCGCAACCCUUAUCUUUAGUAGCCAGCAUUUCGGAUGGGAACUCUAGAGAGACUGCCGGGGAUAACUCGGAGGAAGGUGGGGAUGACGUCAAAUCAUCAUGCCCCUUAUGAUUUGGGCUACACACGUGCUACAAUGGCGGAUACAAAGAGAAGCGAAAGGGUGACCUGAAGCAAACCUCAUAAAGUCCGUCCCAGUUCGGAUUGUAGUCUGCAACUCGACUACAUGAAGUUGGAAUCGCUAGUAAUCGCGAAUCAGAAUGUCGCGGUGAAUACGUUCCCGGGCCUU
rnacentral:rRNA from 1 species